AUACCUUUCUCGGCCUUUUGGCUAAGAUCAAGUGUAGUAUCUGUUCUUAUCAGUUUAAUAUCUAGUUUAAUAUCUGAUACAUGGGCCAUCGGCCCACUCGAUAUUAAUCUUAUUUUUAUGGGGAAAGACCCAUCACAAUAGCUUGUUAUUGGCGUCUUUGAGUGUCGCCUUGGCGUUGCACUACUGCCUUGGCCUGGCGCACCCCUC
rnacentral:snRNA from 2 species